GAUAUGCACAUGUGUAAUGAGCCAAGCAUGUUCUGCAUGUGUUUAGCCAAAUUGUGACCUCAGGGACACGAGAGGAGUGCUCCCUGCUGUGGUUAGGAGAGCUUCCAUGGCUGGGCUCACCCAAGGACUGCAAAGCAGUGUUGGCAUUUACUUUAUGAAAUUAAAGUUUGCUGUUUUAGCAUCUGUGGGUUCUGGAGAGGCCUGCCAGGGCAGUGGGUGAUGCUGCAGGGCUGAUUGUGUCACCCCUUGCACUGUCUGAGCACCAGAUGCUGAUUAAUGAUUAGUGUGUAACAAAUUAAUAAAUCAAUACCACAGACAAAUAAACAUCCAUUACAGGGGGCUCUCAAAUCUCUCUCCCCUGGGGGAGAAGGGAGACCUGCAGGCAUUACAUUCUUCACUAGACACAAAUGCCUCUGGACUCUGGGCUAUCCUGACACCUUGCAGAGGGAAUGUACCCUUGAGAUUAAUUAUAUUCCAUAUAUUCCAUAGGUGGUUCAAUAUGUGCUGGAAAAAUCCCUGGGCUUACUUUUGUGGUAUGCAGAUGUUCUUGCAGGGAAGGGUGAGUGGUCAGCACAGUCAAAGUGGGCUCAGGAGGAGCAAGUCCUGCCCUGAAGGGGUUUAUCCACAGGGACUCAUUCCAGACAAUACCUUUGAAGUCUAAAGACAAGAUCUCAUUGCCCAAGCUCCCUCUGUAGCUUUGUGGAGAACAGGGAUCCUGUGUUGUAUCAUUUAAAGUCUGAAUUUGGACUGCAGUCCUGAAUGAUGACCAGAGUUUAAAAGUAAUGCAUGUGGCACAUCAAACACCACUGACCUGAGCCUCUCUCAGCCAAAAUCAGGCAACAAAUUGAGUUACUGUGUUGUCAUCAUUAGGCUGUCAAAAGCAUAAAAACUUCUGUCCAUCUGGCCUUGUUUUUCAGAAAUAAAAAGCAUUUAAAGUUGGUGUGAUACAUUAUGGAAUGCAGGUAAUUAAUGCCCUUGUAAUGACCAAAGGGAGAAUUCAGACAGAAUUCAGAUGUGGUUUCUGAAUCUGUACAAACACCUACAAAUCCAGAAUGGGACAGGGAAGUAAAUAAAUCCCUGAUUGGCCUAACUGAUUUUUCCAUUCUUCUUGCAUAAGAAGUGUGUGUGUAUGUCUGUGCUAUGCUUGAGGCAUAAUUUAUGCAUUGCAAUAAAUAACAAGUAUAUGUGUGCAUAAUUAGGAGGGACAAUAAAGAAAAGCAGUUGAUGAAAUUGAAUUAUGCAUAAUAAAGCUGGAAUUUUUCAGGGAAGGCUGUAGUCAUCAGGAAAGAAAGUGAAGCUUGUUUGUUUUGUUAGUAUUGUGAGAGACCUGAACUGGGACUAGAGUUUUGUAAGACUUUGUAUUUUUAUGUCUCACAGGGUUUGGGCAAGACCAGGUGAACAGACCAACAUUUUGGAACCUGAGGUACAGGAUAGACUGCAGUCUGCCCUUAUGGGGACUGCUCAGGAGGCUUACAAGACAAUGCUGUGUAUUUAUCUACUUUUCCACAGUAAAAAUGUAUAAAUGAUCAUUAUAGAGCCCUUCUUCAAAAGGGAAAAGUUUGGCUCACUAGGUUUGAAGAGCCAUUCUCCUACUUGGAUGCUUUUACACAUCCAUGACCACUCUCCAUGUGCUUUAUUCAGCUUCAAAACAAGUCCACCAGCACUGCCAAACACACACAUGAGAUGAAUGUAAAAUACAUUCCAAAUAAUUGCAGUAUUUAUGUAAUUUGGUGUCUUGUGUCUUCCAGAAACCCUCAACAGCUGGUUAACCCCAGCAGGACCAGUGAGCUGAGAGGGGCACAGGGAGUGCCAGGGUCUGGCUGCCCAGCAGAACCAGCCAGGUCCUGCUGCCGGGGAAACAAUCUCAGAGCUGAAGUCACCUCGGGCUGACAGAGCAGCCAACAGGAUGAGCUGGAAACAGGAGUUUGUUGCUCAGCCUUAGGACUGCAGUGAGUGUCACUGGGAUGUCACAGAUGUCACUGCAGAGAUGUCUCUGCAGAGCACUGAGUUUGUUCUCCAAGCACCUUUCAGGCACUGCAUCACUUGUCUGUGCACAGCCCGUGGCUGCUUUUCACUUUGGUUCAUUCCAAAUGUACAGCACCUCUUGUAUGGUGAUUGCAACCUCAGCAGUGCUACUUACUCAGAAUCACCAGCAACUAUGAUCUAAUUUAAAAA